rnacentral:tRNA from 1 species
GACAAAAGCCGGGAUAGCUCAGUUGGUAGAGCAGAGGACUGAAAAU